rnacentral:rRNA from 1 species
GCCCCGGUAAACGGCGGCCGUAACUAUAACGGUCCUAAGGUAGCGAAAUUCCUUGUCGGGUAAGUUCCGACCUGCACGAAUGGCGUAAUGAUGGCCAGGCUGUCUCCACCCGAGACUCAGUGAAAUUGAACUCGCUGUGAAGAUGCAGUGUACCCGCGGCAAGACGGAAAGACCCCGUGAACCUUUACUAUAGCUUGACACUGAACAUUGAGCCUUGAUGUGUAGGAUAGGUGGGAGGCUUUGAAGUGUGGACGCCAGUCUGCAUGGAGCCGACCUUGAAAUACCACCCUUUAAUGUUUGAUGUUCUAACGUUGGCCCGUAAUCCGGGUUGCGGACAGUGUCUGGUGGGUAGUUUGACUGGGGCGGUCUCCUCCUAAAGAGUAACGGAGGAGCACGAAGGUUGGCUAAUCCUGGUCGGACAUCAGGAGGUUAGUGCAAUGGCAUAAGCCAGCUUGACUGCGAGCGUGACGGCGCGAGCAGGUGCGAAAGCAGGUCAUAGUGAUCCGGUGGUUCUGAAUGGAAGGGCCAUCGCUCAACGGAUAAAAGGUACUCCGGGGAUAACAGGCUGAUACCGCCCAAGAGUUCAUAUCGACGGCGGUGUUUGGCACCUCGAUGUCGGCUCAUCACAUCCUGGGGCUGAAGUAGGUCCCAAGGGUAUGGCUGUUCGCCAUUUAAAGUGGUACGCGAGCUGGGUUUAGAACGUCGUGAGACAGUUCGGUCCCUAUCUGCCGUGGGCGCUGGAGAACUGAGGGGGGCUGCUCCUAGUACGAGAGGACCGGAGUGGACGCAUCACUGGUGUUCGGGUUGUCAUGCCAAUGGCACUGCCCGGUAGCUAAAUGCGGAAGAGAUAAGUGCUGAAAGCAUCUAAGCACGAAACUUGCCCCGAGAUGAGUUCUCCCUGACUCCUUGAGAGUCCUGAAG